rnacentral:rRNA from 1 species
GACGAACGCUGGCGGCGUGCUUAACACAUGCAAGUCGAACGGAAAGGCCCUGCUUUUGUGGGGUGCUCGAGUGGCGAACGGGUGAGUAACACGUGAGUAACCUGCCCUUGACUUUGGGAUAACUUCAGGAAACUGGGGCUAAUACCGGAUAGGAGCUCCUGCUGCAUGGUGGGGGUUGGAAAGUUUCGGCGGUUGGGGAUGGACUCGCGGCUUAUCAGCUUGUUGGUGGGGUAGUGGCUUACCAAGGCUUUGACGGGUAGCCGGCCUGAGGGGGUGACCGGCCACAUUGGGACUGAGAUACGGCCCAGACUCCUACGGGAGGCAGCAGUGGGGAAUAUUGCACAAUGGGCGGAAGCCUGAUGCAGCAUCGCCGCGUGCGGGAUGACGGCCUUCGGGUUGUAAACCGCUUUCGCCUGUGACGAAGCGUGAGUGACGGUAAUGGGUAAAGAAGCACCGGCUAACUACGUG